GACGAACGCUGGCGGCGUGCUUAACACAUGCAAGUCGAACGGAAAGGCCUUUUCGGAGGUACUCGAGUGGCGAACGGGUGAGUAACACGUGGGUGAUCUGCCCUGCACUCUGGGAUAAGCCUGGGAAACUGGGUCUAAUACCGGAUAGGACCGCACUUUAGUGUGUGUGGUGGAAAGUUUUUUCGGUGUAGGAUGAGCCCGCGGCCUAUCAGCUUGUUGGUGGGGUAAUGGCCUACCAAGGCGGCGACGGGUAGCCGGACUGAGAGGUUGGUCGGCCACAUUGGGCCUGAGAUCCGGCCCAGACUCCUACGGGAGGCAGCAGUGGGGAAUAUUGCACAAUGGGCGCAAGCCUGAUGCAGCGACGCCGCGUGGGGGAUGACGGCCUUCGGGUUGUAAACUCCUUUCGCCAGGGACGAAGCGUUUUGUGACGGUACCUGGAGAAGAAGCACCGGCUAACUACGUG
rnacentral:rRNA from 1 species